GUAUUUUUAAACUUUUAUUAA
rnacentral:tRNA from 3 species